CGGGGUGCAGCAGGCGCGAAAACUUUACAAUGCUGGCAACAGCGAUAAGGGGACCUCGAGUGCCAGGAUACAAUCUUGGCUGUCGCGAUGCCUAAAAAGCAUUGCAUAGCAAGGGCCGGGCAAGACCGGUGCCAGCCGCCGCGGUAACACCGGCGGCUCGAGUGGUAACCGCUAUUAUUGGGUCUAAAGGGUCUGUAGCCGGCCGGAUAAGUCUUUUGGGAAAUCCAGCUGCUUAACAGUUGGGCUUUCAGAAGAUACUGUUCGGCUCGAGACCGGGAGAGGUGAGAGGUACUUCAGGGGUAGGGGUGAAAUCUUGUAAUCCUUGAAGGACCACCAGUGGCGAAGGCGUCUCACCAGAACGGAUCUGACGGCAAGGGACGAAAGCUAGGGGCACGAACCGGAUUAGAUACCCGGGUAGUCCUAGCCGUAAACGAUACUCGCUAGGUGUCAGCCACGGUGCGACCGUGGUUGGUGCCGUAGGGAAGCCGUGAAGCGAGCCACCUGGGAAGUACGGCCGCUAGGCUGAAACUUAAAGGAAUUGGCGGGGGAGCACAAGGGCGAAUUCGCG
rnacentral:rRNA from 1 species